rnacentral:rRNA from 1 species
CCGGUCGCGGACACAGAGAUGUGUCUUUCAGUUCGGCUGGACCGGAUACAGGUGCUGCAUGGCCGUCGUCAGCUCGUGUCGUGAGAUGUUGGGUUAAGUCCCGCAACGAGCGCAACCCUCGCCCUUAGUUGCCAGCAUUUAGUUGGGCACUCUAAGGGGACUGCCGGUGAUAAGCCGAGAGGAAGGUGGGGAUGACGUCAAGUCCUCAUGGCCCUUACGGGCUGGGCUACACACGUGCUACAAUGGUGGUGACAGUGGGCAGCGAGCACGCGAGUGUGAGCUAAUCUCCAAAAGCCAUCUCAGUUCGGAUUGCACUCUGCAACUCGAGUGCAUGAAGUUGGAAUCGCUAGUAAUCGCGGAUCAGCAUGCCGCGGUGAAUACCGGUUCCCGGGCCUU